CACAAAGACAACAGAUGAUCCUGAAAUCAAGGCCUUGCUAUUCUUUGGCACAAAGAAAAAGAAGAAAGGUGUCAGGUUAUCUAAUUGGGUGUCCUCGCUCUCGAAUUUGACUUCUAUUUUCUUAUUGGUUUGUAAAUGGUUUCAACAUAUCCCACCAUUGGGCUGAUUUCCUUUUCUGAAGCGUCUUUCUCUUAAAAACUUGAGUGAGCUGGAGUACAUAAGUAAUGGUGGUAGUGAUCUGUCCUCUUCUCCCCUCAAAAUUCUCACACUUGUUAAUUUGCCAAAGUUGAAGGGAUGGUGUAGGACGAGGGAAACCGUAACAGUAGAGCAUCCUCUUCCAUUAUUCCCAUCAUUUCCUUGCCUUUCUCAUUUAUGCAUCGAUAACUGCCCUAUGAUGUAUGUAGCACCAGGGAGCAAAACAAUACCCUCCUCUUCCUCUUCCUUUUCCAAUCUCUCCGGGAUUAGAGGAACUUGAAUAUCUACCAUUAGAGUGGCUGUGAAAUCUCACUUCUCUUGGGACGCUGGAGAUUUGGGGGUGUUGUAAAAUGUGAAUCUCUUUGUCUCCACUCUUUCAACAUCUCACCUCAUUUGAAAAUUUGUCUAUUCUUCACUGCAAGGAACGUAUCAGCAAUGAGAAUGAAGAUGGCGCAGGAUGCCUUGGACCUUCAAGAUUUGGUCAUCUAUCUAUAAUAGAUGUUCCAAAUUUGGUUUCUCUCCCAAGAGAGCUUAGAGAUGUUACUAGUCUGCAAGGGCUUCAAAUUAUGGAUUGCCCUAGUUUGGUGUCUUUACUGGAGUGGAUAGGCGAUCUCACUUCACUUCAGGAGCUUGGUGUCGUAAAUUGUCUGAAUUUAAUAUCACUGCCCGAAGGUGUGCGUCGCCUCACCUCUUUACGUCGUUUGACAACUGCGGAGUGUCCUCACUCGGAGGAAAGAUGUGAACAAAGAAUGGGAGAGGAUUGGCCAAAGAUUGCUCACGUCCCAAACUUUCGAAAUGACGGUGAUGGUAAUCGUAUAGAGUGGAACGCAAGCCAAACUUGCCAAAUUUAUCAGGAAGAAGUGAAGGUUUUACGUGUCGAUGCUUCUUCAAACCUUGCCAACAAUCAGAUUUGAAGCAACAGGAGCUUUGAAUAUAUUAAAACAGAGCUUUGAAUACUAACAUAGAGAUACCUUCAGAUCUGCAUAUCAUCCACUAAUUUCA